rnacentral:rRNA from 1 species
GAUGAACGCUGGCGGCGUGCCUAAUACAUGCAAGUCGAGCGAACAGACGAGGAGCUUGCUCCUCUGACGUUAGCGGCGGACGGGUGAGUAACACGUGGAUAACCUACCUAUAAGACUGGGAUAACUUCGGGAAACCGGAGCUAAUACCGGAUAACAUGUUGAACCGCAUGGUUUAACAGUGAAAGACGGUCUUGCUGUCACUUAUAGAUGGAUCCGCGCCGCAUUAGCUAGUUGGUAAGGUAACGGCUUACCAAGGCAACGAUGCGUAGCCGACCUGAGAGGGUGAUCGGUCACACUGGAACUGAGACACGGUCCAGACUCCUACGGGAGGCAGCAGUAGGGAAUCUUCCGCAAUGGGCGAAAGCCUGACGGAGCAACGCCGCGUGAGUGAAGAAGGUCUUCGGAUCGUAAAACUCUGUUAUUAGGGAAGAACAAAUGUGUAAGUAACUAUGCACGUCUUGACGGUACCUAAUCAGAAAGCCACGGCUAACUACGU